AACACGUGGGUAACCUGCCUGUAAGACUGGGAUAACUCCGGGAAACCGGAGCUAAUACCGGAUAGUUCCUUGAACCGCAUGGUUCAAGGAUGAAAGACGGUUUCGGCUGUCACUUACAGAUGGACCCGCGGCGCAUUAGCUAGUUGGUGGGGUAAUGGCUCACCAAGGCGACGAUGCGUAGCCGACCUGAGAGGGUGAUCGGCCACACUGGGACUGAGACACGGCCCAGACUCCUACGGGAGGCAGCAGUAGGGAAUCUUCCGCAAUGGCGAGUCUGACGGAGCACGCCGCGUGAGUGAUGAAGGUUUUCGGAUCGUAAAGCUCUGUUGUUAGGGAAGAACAAGUGCGAGAGUAACUGCUCGCACCUUGACGGUACCUAACCAGAAAGCCACGGCUAACUACGUGCCAGCAGCCGCGGUAAUACGUAGGUGGCAAGCGUUGUCCGGAAUUAUUGGGCGUAAAGGGCUCGCAGGCGGUUUCUUAAGUCUGAUGUGAAAGCCCCCGGCCAACCGGGGAGGGUCAUUGGAAACUGGGAAACUUGAGUGCAGAAAGGAGAGUGGAAUUCCACGUGUAGCGGUGAAAUUGCGUAGAAAGAUUGUGGAGGAACCCAGUGGCGAAGGCGACUCUCUGGUCUGUAACUGACGCUGAGGAGCGAAAAGCCGUGGGGGAGCGAACAGGAUUAGAUACCCUGGUAGUCACGCGUAAACGAUGAGUGCUAAGUGUUAGGGGGUUUCCGCCCCUUUAGUGCUGCAGCUAACGCAUUAAGCACUCCGCCUGGGGAGUACGGUCGCAAGACUGAAACUCAAAGGAAUUGACGGGGGCCCGCACAAGCGGUGGAGCAUGUGGUUUAAUUCGAAGCAACGCGAAGAACCUUACCAGGUCUUGACAUCCUCUGACAACCCUAGAGAUAGGGCUUUCCCUUCGGGGACAGAGUGACAGGUGGUGCAUGGUUGUCGUCAGCUCGUGUCGUGAGAUGUUGGGUUAAGUCCCGCAACGAGCGCAACCCUUGAUCUUAGUUGCCAGCAUUCAGUUGGGCACUCUAAGGUGACUGCCGGUGACAAACCGGAGGAAAGGUGGGGAUGACGUCAAAUCAUCAUGCCCCUUAUGACCUGGGGCUACACACGUGCUACAAUGGACAGAACAAAGGGCUGCAAGACCGCAAGGUUUAGCCAAUCCCAUAAAUCUGUUCUCAGUUCGGAUCGCAGUCUGCAACUCGACUGCGUGAAG
rnacentral:rRNA from 1 species